UUAAGCGACUAAGCGUACACGGUGGAUGCCCUGGCAGUCAGAGGCGAUGAAGGACGUGCUAAUCUGCGAAAAGCGUCGGUAAGGUGAUAUGAACCGUUAUAACCGGCGAUGUCCGAAUGGGGAAACCCAGUGCAAUUCGUUGCACUAUCGUUAACUGAAUACAUAGGUUAACGAGGCGAACCGGGGGAACUGAAACAUCUAAGUACCCCGAGGAAAAGAAAUCAACCGAGAUUCCCCCAGUAGCGGCGAGCGAACGGGGAGCAGCCCAGAGUCUGAAUCAGCUUGUGUGUUAGUGGAACGGUCUGGAAAGUCCGACGGUACAGGGUGAUAGUCCCGUACACCAAAAUGCACAGGCUGUGAACUCGAAGAGUAGGGCGGGACACGUGGUAUCCUGUCUGAAUAUGGGGGGACCAUCCUCCAAGGCUAAAUACUCCUGACUGACCGAUAGUGAACCAGUACCGUGAGGGAAAGGCGAAAAGAACCCCGGCGAGGGGAGUGAAAAAGAACCUGAAACCGUGUACGUACAAGCAGUGGGAGCACCUUCGGGUGUGACUGCGUACCUUUUGUAUAAUGGGUCAGCGACUUAUAUUCUGUAGCAAGGUUAACCGUAUAGGGGAGCCGCAGGGAAACCGAGUCUUAACUGGGCGUUAAGUUGCAGGGUAUAGACCCGAAACCCGGUGAUCUAGCCAUGGGCAGGUUGAAGGUUGGGUAACACUAACUGGAGGACCGAACCGACUAAUGUUGAAAAAUUAGCGGAUGACUUGUGGCUGGGGGUGAAAGGCCAAUCAAACCGGGAGAUAGCUGGUUCUCCCCGAAAGCUAUUUAGGUAGCGCCUCGUGAAUUCAUCUUCGGGGGUAGAGCACUGUUUCGGCUAGGGGGUCAUCCCGACUUACCAACCCGAUGCAAACUACGAAUACCGAAGAAUGUUAUCACGGGAGACACACGGCGGGUGCUAACGUCCGUCGUGAAGAGGGAAACAACCCAGACCGCCAGCUAAGGUCCCAAAGUCAUGGUUAAGUGGGAAACGAUGUGGGAAGGCACAGACAGCCAGGAUGUUGGCUUAGAAGCAGCCAUCAUUUAAAGAAAGCGUAAUAGCUCACUGGUCGAGUCGGCCUGCGCGGAAGAUGUAACGGGGCUAAACCAUGCACCGAAGCUGCGGCAGCGACACUAUGUGUUGUUGGGUAGGGGAGCGUUCUGUAAGCCUGCGAAGGUGACCUGUGAGGGUUGCUGGAGGUAUCAGAAGUGCGAAUGCUGACAUAAGUAACGAUAAAGCGGGUGAAAAGCCCGCUCGCCGGAAGACCAAGGGUUCCUGUCCAACGUUAAUCGGGGCAGGGUGAGUCGACCCCUAAGGCGAGGCCGAAAGGCGUAGUCGAUGGGAAACAGGUUAAUAUUCCUGUACUUGGUGUUACUGCGAAGGGGGGACGGAGAAGGCUAUGUUAGCCGGGCGACGGUUGUCCCGGUUUAAGCAUGUAGGCUGGUUGUCCAGGCAAAUCCGGAUAAUCAAGGCUGAGGUGUGAUGACGAGGCACUACGGUGCUGAAGUAACAAAUGCCCUGCUUCCAGGAAAAGCCUCUAAGCAUCAGGUAACAUCAAAUCGUACCCCAAACCGACACAGGUGGUCAGGUAGAGAAUACCAAGGCGCUUGAGAGAACUCGGGUGAAGGAACUAGGCAAAAUGGUGCCGUAACUUCGGGAGAAGGCACGCUGGUGUGUAGGUGAAGUCCCUGCGGAUGGAGCUGAGACCAGUCGAAGAUACCAGCUGGCUGCAACUGUUUAUUAAAAACACAGCACUGUGCAAACACGAAAGUGGACGUAUACGGUGUGACGCCUGCCCGGUGCCGGAAGGUUAAUUGAUGGGGUUAUCCGUAAGGAGAAGCUCUUGAUCGAAGCCCCGGUAAACGGCGGCCGUAACUAUAACGGUCCUAAGGUAGCGAAAUUCCUUGUCGGGUAAGUUCCGACCUGCACGAAUGGCGUAAUGAUGGCCAGGCUGUCUCCACCCGAGACUCAGUGAAAUUGAACUCGCUGUGAAGAUGCAGUGUACCCGCGGCAAGACGGAAAGACCCCGUGAACCUUUACUAUAGCUUGACACUGAACAUUGAGCCUUGAUGUGUAGGAUAGGUGGGAGGCUUUGAAGCGUGGACGCCAGUCUGCGUGGAGCCAACCUUGAAAUACCACCCUUUAAUGUUUGAUGUUCUAACGUUGGCCCCUGACCGGGGUUGCGGACAGUGUCUGGUGGGUAGUUUGACUGGGGCGGUCUCCUCCUAAAGCGUAACGGAGGAGCACGAAGGUUAGCUAAUCCUGGUCGGACAUCAGGAGGUUAGUGCAAUGGCAUAAGCUAGCUUGACUGCGAGCGUGACGGCGCGAGCAGGUGCGAAAGCAGGUCAUAGUGAUCCGGUGGUUCUGAAUGGAAGGGCCAUCGCUCAACGGAUAAAAGGUACUCCGGGGAUAACAGGCUGAUACCGCCCAAGAGUUCAUAUCGACGGCGGUGUUUGGCACCUCGAUGUCGGCUCAUCACAUCCUGGGGCUGAAGUAGGUCCCAAGGGUAUGGCUGUUCGCCAUUUAAAGUGGUACGCGAGCUGGGUUUAGAACGUCGUGAGACAGUUCGGUCCCUAUCUGCCGUGGGCGCUGGAGAAUUGAGGGGGGCUGCUCCUAGUACGAGAGGACCGGAGUGGACGCAUCACUGGUGUUCGGGUUGUCAUGCCAAUGGCACUGCCCGGUAGCUAAAUGCGGAAGAGAUAAGUGCUGAAAGCAUCUAAGCACGAAACUUGCCCCGAGAUGAGUUCUCCCUGAGACUUUAAGUCUCCUGAAGGAACGUUGAAGACGACGACGUUGAUAGGCCGGGUGUGUAAGCGCAGCGAUGCGUUGAGCUAACCGGUACUAAUGAACCGUGAGGCUUAACCUU
rnacentral:rRNA from 1 species